UGGAUGCUGAGAUCUGGCAGCUCCUGUCCAGCUUUGCUGCCCAACCCCAACCCCCUCCCCAGGGGCUCUCUCCUCAUCCCCAGCCUGCAGCUGCUCUGCGGGCAGCACCUCCUUCUUCUUCCUCCUCCUCCUCCUCCUCCUCUUCCUCAGCUUCUCUGUCUUUCUCACCAGGCUCUCAGUUCUCUCUCUCCUACGAAGGCUUCUCUCUGCUUCCUGGAAGCCUCUAUUACUGGCAGCUGCCCC
rnacentral:lncRNA from 1 species